rnacentral:lncRNA from 1 species
ACGUGUAUGAAAGGAGGGAAGCAGCUAUAAAUUAGAAAGGAGAUAGGAAAGUGAAGAUAUUUACUAGACUCUGCCUUUGCUUGCAGUUCUCUGGCUUGAUUGAGGAGGUUCUCACUUUCAUCUUUAUGGGACUUUGGCUAAAAAAAUAAACUGUCAAAGGAACUGGCAUUUGCUGACUGGACUACAGCACAUCUCGAAGAAUCUGCAGACUGAAACCUUCAAGGCAUUCAUGAAAUGGUCUUCCCUUAGUUCCCCUGCCUUUUCCACUCUUUCUGCCAUUUGGAUUUCACACUGGAAGUUCAAGAGAUGACAUCAGAAAACAGAAAAGCCAGUGGGAAAGGCAAGGAGAUUUGGAAGAGUGUUUGAAAAUUUUGGCAAUCAAGAAUAAGAAGAAAGCAGGAAGCCAAGUCACCAGGCAGAACUGAUAGCAUGGGAAGUGGGUUCCCACCAGUCGCAUGCAGCUGCUCUGGUAUGGCCAUGGUGCUGGGGAUGAGUCAGAAAUCUCAGUCUUUUCUGGCUUAAAGAAAAGGAAGAAUGGAACCCAUCUUCUCCAGAUAUGUUGUUAUGGGGUAGGUGUAGGUCUAGAGACAGAAAAGAAUCACAUUUGAACAUCCUCUUAAUGCAAGAACAUUUUUAAAGAAACAAUUUUCCCUGAAUAUCCAUCAAGCCUAAUACAGUGUGACUAUCUGAGAUCAAUUAUUCUUAUCUUUACAAAGACUGGGAGUUAUACAGCAAAAGCAAUACUGUAAAAUAUGUGUAUUAAAAUAUGUAAAAGAA